UUCUGUUAAGGCACCAAUGAUGAGAGAGUUUUUAUUUUAUGUAGUGGACUCCAUCUUUCCACGUCCGAAAGAACCGAGGUUGUCAAAGCUUUGGAGCCAUGUUACUGUCCCUAUUCCAAAAAUCCAUGCAUUUUAAUUUUCUCUUCACAUCAAGAACCCCUUUUAAGUGGAUUCCAACUCCUCAUUCAACCAUAUAUAGAUUCCCUUAACAAGUGAUUCCAUUCUAUUAUUUUAUGUGGGGUUCCUUCAAAUCUCGGUACCCAAUGGGUGGACUUGCUGUUUUGUUUGUGAGCAAUAGGGUAAUGGGGCUAACCUACCUAAUAGGAUCUGACAGGUACCAGUUAUAUAUAUAUACAUAUUUUUCAAUUUUGUGUGGAUUGCAAUACCAUAUAUAUUUAUAAUUAAGCCACAAUACCAUGCAUUAUCAGUAUUAAUAUAUAUAGAGAGACAAUAUAAUAUUAACCCCUCUCCUUUCUCCCUAGCUGUGUAGCUCAGAUAUAUAUAUAUAUAAAUAAAGUAUAUUAGUUUACUUUUAUUUUUUGCUGUUGCAAAGAACAAUGACAGUUUUAUUGUAUGUAAAUAAAAAUAAUAUCCAUUAGUCAAUUCACAUAUAAUUUGUGCUAAUUAUAUUUUUAUAAUAUUUCCCAUUAAAAAAGAAAAAAAAAAGCUUUUAUUAUAUUAAUUUCUUAACUUAUGUUUGCCAACUCAUUUUCCUACCAUUAUGAAAGAGAGGAAAAAAAAAAAAAAGAAGAA